UUCCACUGGUCAUAAAAUACCUCAACAAUUUCACACUAAUUAACAGAAGGGCAAUUUUUUCCUGGCCUUUUGGAUGCUGACUUUGGCUUUACAAUUGGCUUUUUCCUCUGGAUAGCAGUCGGUGGCCCUCUUCCUAGCUCUGUAGUAGCAGUGAGGUUGGUCUGCUGCUCCAUCUUCCCAAACACUGCUGACUGUUUUUCUGGGCUCUCACUGUCAGGCUUAUUUAAGUGAGCUCCACAGUCUUUAGAGAAGAUAAAGAAAGGAAUAGGGGACAAUAUUGGAGAGGGAAGAAAAGAAGUAGUGUACUUAUUUUUAAUGCAUAAAUCCUGUGAAUCCAUGAAUUAUUCAUACCAUAAGUAACUACUGCUAAUGAUUAGCACCUUUUUACAAGAGGGCUUGAGUUCACUCUUCUCUGCUGGUACCUUGAUUGUGUUUCUAUUAGAUGAGGCGAAGUGGAAAAUCAGUCUUUGCUCUUCAGAAAAACUUAACUCAUCCUGAAGAUUGCAAACACACGAAUUCCAUCUGUUUGGUUCUUGGGCAUGUACACUGACGGCUCUGAGAAUUUCCACUGAGAAAUCCAUCAUACAAUCUGUUCAGUCCAAGCGCUGUGCAGCGAGAAGUGCCACUUCUGUUGGGGGAAGGAGUCCUUUGAAGAGACUCCUAGUCUGAGAUAAAGCUGUCAAUCUUCUCUGGAGGAGGAGGAAAAAGUUCUGACCUGAAAUUAUGAACUGCAUGGUUCCACAGCUGGUAAUUAAGAAAUGUAGAACAGAAGUGACUUUUUAUCACUUAGUUUCUUGGAUUAAAUACAAAGGAGAUAUUCACUCAAAUUUAAAAAUCAAUUCCCAUUCCAUUUUCCCCACAAACUUGGGAACAUCAAGUUUUGAUUUGAACAGGUGCUAACUAAGAAAAUUUACCCCAAAUAAAGCUUGAAUUUUAACAAUAAUCUUAACAAGCUUAGAUCACACUUUCCCUUAGCAGAGCAGGGUGCAUUGUAGACACACUUUUCUAUCAAAACUGACAAAAAAUCUAGACAAAUGCUACAAUGUGACAGGCUUGCUGGAUUACAGAUGUAAAUGUAGUUUUGUGCCUCAAUUCUUUAUAUUCCACGUGCUGGAGGAGCACUGGCAGCACAUAUGGCUCAUGACCUAGAUAGUCUCACUUGGAAAUAGUUUUUCCUUUUCCUCUUUAGAAAAAAACAGUUGUUUCAGCUGCUUUUCUAUUCCUCUAGAGAACUGAGGGAGACACUAGGUUUUAACUGGUUGUGCUACUCAGGAUUCACUGCCUGCUCGUUGCUGCGGCUAUUGGCAGGUUUACAUUUGGUCAGCUUGCACCUGAGUAGUUUCCCCAUCUAAAAGAAGGCAGCAGGGAAAGACAGUGAAAUAAUGUAGACGGAAGCUGAAGCCCGUCUGAGGAACAAGGAGCUAGCAGCAACAUUAAGCCUGUCUCUAGGGAGUUUCUCAGAAGACAGUAUGAGCAUGAUACUACCCUUUGGCUCCCAGCUAAUCAAGCUAAGUCACCUUCAAAGGUCAUUUUAUUCCAGGAAAAUUCUUUCUGUUUCAGUGGAAGAUUGAGAUCAGAUGGAGACUGAGAUUCUUUUAAUGACAAACUUUCCUGUGUUGGUGUUGGCUGUAUCUGCUGCCCAGCUAAACAAGUUGCCAUGCUCUUCUUGAGACAAAAAGAAGAAUCUAAAGGAAUUAAAUGUGUUAUCCCAUCAACAGCAUCCCAUUAUUUUACACUUGGAUGUGCCUCCUCCUGGAAAUUCCUCAAGUUUCAAGCUUGGUUCUGAAACAAGUAUGUAACCUUGCCAGUGCAACUGAAAACUUCUAAUCCCUAUUUCUUUAAGACCACCUCACUUUACAUAAUUCCUUCAUUCCAUGUUUCCUUUAUAAGGUACUAUACGUAACAGGUUCAGAGGCUAAAAUGGUAUCCUGCUCCCACCCACUUAUUUUGGGCAAAUGAAAGUCUUAACCUCCUAAAAGAUCGAACUAUUGGUGACGUUUACCAGUCAAGAGCUGCUGGGAAUCCAGAACAGUGUACUGCUUGGCUUGCAAACAGCUUCUUGGACAAUUUUAUUUCCAGGGUGUUCAUUAACAGAAACCAGUCCUUAAUAUUGUUAUUUCACACAGCAGCAUUUGCACAAGUGAAUUUGACAACGCCAUCUUACAGCUUUUCCCCCGUAUUGUUUGGAUAAUUGCAUUGUCAAGAAUUACUUAUCAUACAUUUAGCACUUAAUACCCAUUUAUUAUGAGUUCAUGUAACUGCUGUUUAAAGAAUAAUACAAGCUAACUCCUUUCUACGCCAUUUGAUGCCACUUUGAUUCUGUAAUUGCUGGUUUCCUAGGAUAUUAUGCCACAAAACCUGAAGAAAUAAUUGGUUGUUUCAUUCCAGACAAUACGUUUUGGAGUUGCAUAGAGUUUAACUGGCAGAUUUGUAACAGUGCAACAGAGACUUAAAGAGAGUGAAUGCUAGCCAUGGAAUAAGACUGCACAAUAUAACUUCUGUAGCUACUGGUAUUGUGCAGCUACGGUUUACAUUGCUUAAAGGAAAAGGAUUCUUUAUGCAAAUGUUGCAAGUUUCAUGCCUUUGUGGGAUGCUCUCUGCAAGAGUAUGUCACAGUUGCAUGUCAGCACAGGGUGGAACAUGUAACAAAUGUGGUGUGAAAAAUAGGUGACUAAAAACCACAGCUCUUCCAAUGCUCAGCUAUAAUUACUUUUUGUUUGCAGAGUACACACUGAAAUCUGCAGAAAUAACUACUGGUUUUGUGGGGGAUUGAUUUUGUAAGCACAUAAAAGCAAACUGAAGGAGUAUAUUGCAAGUAUAUUUUAAAAGCACUAUUUUAGCUGAACUUUUGUCACUUGUUAACUCUGUUCUCAAGUGGUGGCAAAAUACUAAUACAUGUUCUUUUUCAGCAUCUUUAUAGCCUGCAUUUGUUUUACAGCAAAUCCUGUUAUUUCAUUAUAAAAUGUUAUUACUUUUAUCUGGUUUUAGUCUGUUUGUAAGCUUAUAAUUAAGGAUAUGGUCACUGUCCGUGGUAAGAUCACACAAUUGUUGCAUACAGUUUUGCCAGACUUUAACUUAAUUAGGCUGCAUUUUGUCACAGCUCCCACAUUUGUAAAGUGGGAUAGAGACUAGCUAAAAGGUCAUGAUUCUGGUCAUUUUUUCAUUGAGAAAUGUCAGUAUGCCUCUCAUGGCAGAAACUGUCGCACUUUGAGUAGCUUUACACGUUUGCUUCCUUUAAGAAAGCAUCAAAAUUACUUUUAUGUGUUCCCAGGUUGCAGCUUGAUUUACCCAGCCUUGUAGAAGAACUCCCCAGUGGGAUUCUGGGAUGGAGCCAGGCAGCAGUGACUCCUGCUCAAGGGCCUUAGCUACUGCAUUUUUAUUUAAAUAUAGUAAGAAGAAACAGCUGUCCUUUAUCCAACACCUGCAUGCUAGGAACUUGCCUCAGUGUACAGCAUAUCUUUUGGGAAAUAUUGUAUAUUUUUCCACUCAAAAUCAUUCACAAGUCUUUAAGGAUGGUUGAGAAGAAAGAUUAAUUUGGUUUACUUCUUACAAAGCUUCCCAUUAGCUCAGCCUCUCUAACGCC